UACGAAGGGGGCUAGCGUUGCUCGGAAUUACUGGGCGUAAAGCGCACGUAGGCGGCUUUCUAAGUCGGGGGUGAAAUCCUGGAGCUCAACUCCAGAACUGCCUUCGAUACUGGAAAGCUCGAGUCCGGGAGAGGUGAGUGGAACUGCGAGUGUAGAGGUGAAAUUCGUAGAUAUUCGCAAGAACACCAGUGGCGAAGGCGGCCAACUGGUCCGGUUCUGACGCUGAGGCGCGAAAGCGUGGGGAGCAAACAGG
rnacentral:rRNA from 1 species